rnacentral:snRNA from 1 species
GAAUGUGAGGGCGAUCUGGCUAUGACAUCUGCCACCGCAUUGAUGGCCAGGGUUGAUUUGGCUGAUCUGGCUGGCUGGGCAGGUGUCGCUUUCCUCCCUCACUGCUCCAUGUGUGUCCCUCCCGAAGCUGUGAGCUCAGUUGAAGAGGACGACCACCCCUGAUAGAGGAGGACCGUUUCCUCCGUCAAGGGUAUACGAGUAGCUGCGCUCCCUGGCUAGAACCUCCAGACAAGCUCUCAAAAGAUAAUGAGAUCCUCCACACUUCUUUAUCAUUCUUAGGUUUCCACAUAUACUUGGGUCUAUUU